AACUGUUGGUGCUGGCCUUCCUGUCAUAGCAUCCUUAAAUCGCAUAAUUUCAUCAGGAGACCCUGUCUACCGUAUUAUUGGGAGUUUGAGUGGUACCCUGGGGUAUGUAAUGAGUGAGGUUGAGGAUGGAAAGCCAUUAAGCCAAGUCGUUAAUGCUGCUAAAAGCCUUGGUUACACUGAACCAGAUCCUCGGGAUGAUCUAGGUGGUAUGGAUGUAGCAAGAAAGGCUCUCAUACUUGCUCGGCUCCUUGGACGGCGUUUAAACCUAGAUAAUAUGAAGAUUGAAAGCUUGUAUCCUGAAGAAAUGGGACCAGGUGUGAUGCCUCUAGAAGACUUUCUAGUGAACGGCCUUCCCUUACUUGAUCAGAAAAUUGAAGAUAGGAUCAAACAAGCUUCUGCAAAUGGGAAUGUUCUGCGCUAUGUUUGCUUGAUUGAUGAUGCGAGAUGUGAAGUUGGCAUGCAAGAAGUUCCAAAAGAUUCUGCAUUGGGAAGAUUAAGAGGAAGUGAU
rnacentral:misc_RNA from 1 species